GUACAGACUUGAAAACAUAUUAGUCACACUGUCAACAUGGCUCUCAGACAGCUCACACUGUUGAUGGUUGCUGUGUUUGUUUGGAGCGCUGCUGAAGGUUGGAGCAUAACUGUGGAGAUGGGUGUAAUUGUUAAAAGACCUGGAGAGUCCCACUGACUGACCUGUACAACAUCUGGAAUAUCAUUUAGUAGCUACUGGAUGCACUGGGUCAGACAGGCUCCUGGAAAAGGACUGGAGUGGAUCGCUAUUAUUGAAGAUAACAGUAAUAGAAUCUACUACUCUCAGUCAGUCCAAGGCAGGUUCACCAUCUCCAGAGACAACAGCAAAGAGCAGCUGUUUCUGCAGAUGAACAGGCUGAAGACUGGAAGACUGAAGAUUCUGCUGUUUAUUAUUGUGCUCGACACCCACAGUGA